UGGCGGCGCGUUUAAGCAUGCAAGUCGAGCGGCAAGGGCCUUCGGGCCCCUAGAGCGGCGGACGGGUGAGUAACACGUGGACAAUCUGCCCCCCGGCCCGGGAUAGCCCAGGGAAACCUGGAUUAAUACCGGAUGAGACGGGACCCGCGAUGGCGGGAUCCGGGAAAGGCGCUGCGGCGCCGCCGGGGGAUGAGUCUGCGUCCCAUUAGCUAGACGGCGGGGUAACGGCCCACCGUGGCGACGAUGGGUAGCCGGCCUGAGAGGGUGGACGGCCACAUUGGAACUGAGACACGGUCCAGACUCCUACGGGAGGCAGCAGCUAAGAAUCUUCCGCAAUGGGCGAAAGCCUGACGGAAGCGACGCCGCGUGAACGAAGAAGGCCGUGAGGUUGUAAAGUUCUUUUCGGGAGGGGAACAACCGUGGCAGGGAAUGGCCGCGGGAUGACGUGAAUCCCGGAAUAAGCCCCGGCUAACUACGUGCCAGCCGCCGC
rnacentral:rRNA from 1 species